rnacentral:lncRNA from 1 species
UGCAAAAGCAGGAUGCAAGGGGAUAUCAUGGAGAACCUACCGGGAGCAGGAAGAGGAAGAGGAGGAGGCAGAUGGAGAUCUUGUGAUGCAGUUAUCCUGAUGCUUCCACACGCUCCUCCUCUUUCUGGGGUGUGGGAGUGGAAGCCUGCUGUGCUGGGAGCUGCUGGGUGAGGCUGGCUUUUCUCCUGCCGCUACCUGUUGCUCUGAAUGGAUUCGGUGAAAGGAAGCUUUGGGAUGGCAACACUGAAAUUCUAAGCCCUGCAAGAAGAGGCGACGUCACAGACAUUUGUGAGCAGCUGUGUUCAAGGGUGAAGCACAGGAAGAGUAACGUUUCAUCCAACAUCACUGAUGAACACCAUCAGACCUCACUGAGAGCUGCAGCCACUGCCGCCGAACCACACUGAUGUGUUAGCAAGGUCAAAUAUCCCACUGGUUUGAUGGCUUUGUUGCUCUCUUUUUUCUACUCUUAUAAUAAAAUAUUAAAAAU